CGUCAGAUCAACGCUGGCGGCGUGCCUAACACAUGCAAGUCGAACGAGAAAGGGACUUCGGUCCUGAGUAAAGUGGCGCACGGGUGAGUAACACGUGACUAACCUACCCUUGAGUGGGGAAUAACUAGGAGAAAUCUUAGCUAAUACCGCAUAAUACCUACGGGUCAAAGGAGCAAUUCGCUUAAGGAGGGGGUCGCGGCAGAUUAGUUAGUUGGCGGGGUAAUGGCCCACCAAGACAGUGAUCUGUAUCCGGCCUGAGAGGGCGCACGGACACACUGGAACUGAAACACGGUCCAGACUCCUACGGGAGGCAGCAGUGGGGAAUUUUGCGCAAUGGGGGAAACCCUGACGCAGCAACGCCGCGUGGAGGAUGAAGUCCCUUGGGACGUAAACUCCUUUCGAUCGGGACGAUAAUGACGGUACCGAGAGAAGAAGCCCCGGCUAACUUCGUGCCAGCAGCCGCGGUAAUACGAGGGGGGCGAGCGUUGUUCGGAAUUAUUGGGCGUAAAGGGUGCGUAGGCGGUUCGGUAAGUCUUGUGUGAAAUCUUCGGGCUCAACUCGAAGUCUGCACCAGAAACUGCCGGGCUUGAGUAUGGGAGAGGUGAGUGGAAUUUCCGGUGUAGCGGUGAAAUGCGUAGAUAUCGGAAGGAACACCUGUGGCGAAAGCGGCUCACUGGACCAUAACUGACGCUGAUGCACGAAAGCUAGGGGAGCAAACAGGAUUAGAUACCCUGGUAGUCCUAGCCCUAAACGAUGAUCGCUUGGUGUGACGGGUACCCAAUCCCGCCGUGCCGAAGCUAACGCGUAAGCGAUCCGCCU
rnacentral:rRNA from 1 species